CCACUGCAAGAGGGGAAGUUGCUACUGUGAUGAAUUCUGCCAUGUGGUACCAGACUGCUACCCAGACCACAGUGUCCUCUGCAACCCUCGUCAAAGCUUCUCAGAUGACCAAGAUGGUGCUGCAGAUGGUGCUGAGGAUGGAGAACCCACCAAGCCCCGCUAGGAGCCACCUAGACUGGAUGUAGAGCAUGGAUUCUGGAUGUAUACAGAUGUUCUUCAUCUUAGGAAGGGUUUACGUCCCAAUAAACACGUGGCUAAAACCUUUGAAGAGGAAUUUAUUAUAUCCUACAAACCUGGGAGGCAGAGGUUGCAGUGAGCCAAGAUUGGGCCAUCGCACUCCAGCCUGGGCAAUAAGAAUGAAACUCUGUCUCAAAAAAACAAAAGUUGGCUAGGGCUGGGCGUGGUGGCUCACACCUGUAAUCCCAGCAC
rnacentral:lncRNA from 1 species